rnacentral:rRNA from 1 species
UAACGCGUGAGAAUCUGCCAUCAGGUCUGGGACAACCACUGGAAACGGUGGCUAAUACCGGAUGUGCCCUUCGGGGUGAAAGGUUAACUGCCUGUUGAUGAGCUCGCGUCUGAUUAGCUAGUUGGUGUGGUAAGAGCGCACCAAGGCGACGAUCAGUAGCUGGUCUGAGAGGACGAUCAGCCACACUGGGACUGAGACACGGCCCAGACUCCUACGGGAGGCAGCAGUGGGGAAUUUUCCGCAAUGGGCGAAAGCCUGACGGAGCAAUACCGCGUGAGGGAGGAAGGCUCUUGGGUCGUAAACCUCUUUUCUCAGGGAAGAACACAAUGACGGUACCUGAGGAAUAAGCAUCGGCUAACUCCGUGCCAGCAGCCGCGGUAAUACGGAGGAUGCAAGCGUUAUCCGGAAUGAUUGGGCGUAAAGCGUCCGCAGGUGGCUAUGUAAGUCUGCUGUUAAAGAGUCUAGCUCAACUAGAUAAGAGCAGUGGAAACUACAAGGCUAGAGUGCGUUCGGGGCAGAGGGAAUUCCUGGUGUAGCGGUGAAAUGCGUAGAGAUCAGGAAGAACACCAGUGGCGAAGGCGCUCUGCUAGGCCGCAACUGACACUGAGGGACGAAAGCUAGGGGAGCGAAUGGGAUUAGAU